UUCGACCUCAGCGUAGUAAGAUCACCCGCUGAACUUAAGCAUAUCAAUAAGCGGAGGA
rnacentral:rRNA from 1 species